UACAGAGGGGGCAAGCGUUGCUCGGAAUCACUGGGCGUAAAGGGCGCGUAGGCGGGAUGGCAAGUCGGUCGUGAAAUCUCUCGGCUCAACCGAGAAACGUCGGCCGAUACUGCCGUUCUUGAGGGAUGCAGAGGAGACUGGAAUUCCCGGUGUAGCGGUGAAAUGUGUAGAGAUCGGGAGGAACACCGGUGGCGAAGGCGGGUCUCUGGGCAUUUCCUGACGCUGAGGCGCGAAAGCGUGGGGAGCGAACAGG
rnacentral:rRNA from 1 species